rnacentral:rRNA from 1 species
AUCAAGAACGAAAGUUAAGGGAUCGAAGACGAUCAGAUACCGUCCUAGUCUUAACCAUAAACAAUGCCAUCUAGAGAUUGGAGGUAGUGCCAAGGAUUACUUCUUCAGCAUCAUUUGAGAAAUCAAAGCUUUUGGGUUCCGGGGGGAGUAUGGUCGCAAGGCUGAAACUUAAAGGAAUUGACGGAAGGGCACCACCAGGAGUGGAGCCUGCGGCUUAAUUUGACUCAACACGGGAAAACUCACCAGAACCAGACAUAAACAGGAUUGACAGAUUGAUAGCUCUUUCUUGAUUUUAUGGGUGGUGGUGCAUGGCCGUUCUUAGUUGGUGGAGUGAUCUGUCUGGUUAAUUCCGUUAACGAACGAGACCUUGUCUUACUAAAUAGUUACAUGUAACUUUGGUUACAUGGGCAGCUUCUUAGGGGGACUUUGCGAGCCUA